GACGAACGCUGGCGGCGUGCUUAACACAUGCAAGUCGAACGGAAAGGCCCUGCUUUUGUGGGGUGCUCGAGUGGCGAACGGGUGAGUAACACGUGAGUAACCUGCCCUUGACUUUGGGGUAACUUCAGGAAACUGGGGCUAAUACCGGAUAGGAGCUCCUGCUGCAUGGUGGGGGUUGGAAAGUUUCGGCGGUUGGGGAUGGACUCGCGGCUUAUCAGCUUGUUGGUGGGGUAGUGGCUUACCAAGGCUUUGACGGGUAGCCUGCCUGCGAGGGUGACCGGCCACAUUGGGACUGAGAUGCGGCCCAGACUCCGACGGGAGGCAGCAGUGGGGAAUAUUGACCAAUGGGCGGAGGCCUGAUGAAGGAACGCCGCGUGCGGGAUGACGGCCUUCGGGUUGUAAACCGCUUUCGCCUGUGACGAAGCGUGAGUGACGGUAAUGGGUAAAGAAGCACCGGCUAACUACGUG
rnacentral:rRNA from 1 species